rnacentral:rRNA from 1 species
GACGUAGGGCGCGAGCGUUGUCCGGAUUUAUUGGGCGUAAAGAGCUCGUAGGCGGCUUGUCGCGUCGACUGUGAAAACCCGUGGCUCAACCAUGUGGUCUGCAGUCGAUACGGGCAGGCUAGAAUUCGGUAGGGGAGACUGGAAUUUACGGUGUAGCGGUGAAAUGCGUAGAUAUCGUAAGGAAGACCAGUGGCGAAGGCGGGUCUCUGGACAGUUCCUGACGCUGAGGCACGAAGGCCAGGGGAGCAAACGGG